CAAGAACUCCAAAUGCAACAAAGUAGAGAAAUUAUACAAACUCAUUCCUGGCUUUUUUUGUUGUUGUUUUGUUUUUCAGAUCAUUCUGUAGAUCUUUCUAUAGGUUUAUGGAGUCCAAGCAGUCUGCAGACCUCAGUUUGAAAAUCAUUGCAUAGAAAGAUCUAUUAUUGCUGUGAAGACAAGCUGAGAGAGCUGGGGUGUUCAGGCUGGAGAAGAGAAGGCUCCAGGGAGACCUUAGAGCACCUUCCAGUGCCUGAAGGGGCUCCAGGAAAGCUGGGAAGGGACUUUGGACAUGGGAAGAGAGUGAUGGAAUAAGGGUGAAUGGCUUCAAACUGGAAUAGGGUAAAUUUAGGUUGGACAUUAGGAGGAAAUUCUUCACUAUGAGGCUGGUGAGACCCUGGCCCAGGCUGCCCAGGGAAGCUGUGGCUGCCCCAUCCCUGGCAGUGUUGAAGGGCAGGUUGGAUGGGGCUUGGAGCAGCCUGGGCUGGUGGGAGGUGUCCCUGCCCAUGCAGGGGUGGGACUGGAUGGUCUUAAAAGUCUCUUCCAAUUCAAACCAUUCCAUGGUUCUGUGAUUUUCAGCUGUAAUCUAGAGCAGAUGAUGUGAAUUACUUCAACCUUCCCACCACUGGUAGCAGUUGAGAAUAAAUUCCCAGCAGCAUCUCUCGUUUUGCUGCUUCUGCAGAGUAAAACCUUGUACAACUGCAAAUUGGUGAAUUCCAAUGAUUUUCCUGUUAGUAGCAGCUGAAGAUCUGAUCCCCUGGUUUCUGUGACUGUGCUGAGAGGGACAGAAGCUCUGCCCUGAGCCAGGACCUUGUACUUACCCCUCCAGAGUCCUUUGCCAACAGUAUUACUUUGUAAUUCCAUAUAGAAGAAGAUUGCAAAGCUGAAGAACAUAGAUGAUGUCCAAGAAGAUGGAGUCACUGAGCAACACAGGGAGAGGAACAUGAAAAGAUGCUACAGUUGAUUGUCUUGGGCUGUAAUUCUUCAGGCUUCACUAUGGAAGGGAACAGAGCCAGAUUUUUGGUCCUCCCUCCUGAGAAAUUACCUGGUGAGGACCUCGUGGAUGGACACUGACAUAAUGUCUGCUCACAAAACUCCUCAUCUGGAUGGUUCCCGUGGAUAAUCAUAGAAUCAUGGAAUGCCAGGUUGGAAGGGACCUCAAGUAUCAUCUGGUCCAACCUUCCCAGUCUUUGUUACAAAGAUCUCCUUCUUGCCUCUGUGAGACCCGUUGAGAGCCUGAGCUUGGCAAGAGCAGAAGAUCCAACCUCUGUUGACAAGUGACAGCCUGUAGCAGGACACAAAGACCUCCCCUGCUUAGAGGUGGAGGGUUCAAGCAGCUUCUUGGGCUGAAUCAUCUACUGAAGGGGAAAGAAACAGCCACAGAUUUUAUGUCAGAAGAAGCUUUGAAGAUCGCCAGGAAAGAAAUAAUAAUGCAAAUAAUUACUGCAUUCUGGAUAGAACAGGUAAGUUAUAUGGUUAAAUAUGGGUCAAAUAUGCUAAACAUUCACGAAUGUCUUUGAUGGUUGUGUUUGUGAGGUGGUCAGCAUUCAAGAUGCAACUUAAUUGGUGCUGAGGUGGGGGGAGAAGCUUUUCUUUCAUGGGCCAGAGAGACAAGGUGUAGGAGCAGAGAUGCCUUGCUCAGUGGGUUUCCCUGUGGCAUUGCUAAAGGGAGGGAAAGCAGGGCUGUUUGAUCUGCUGAUUUUCAGGCAGAGAAUUCCGAGCUGUAGCAGUCAGGUGAUGUUCAGAGGGAGACGGGGUGCAGGCUGGUGGGUCUUUGUUUCUAUGGUUACCUUCAGUUGGGAUGGCUGUAACUGGGUCAGAUCGGAAGGUGCGAAUGGAAACAAAGGAAUUGGGAACCAGUUAAUGGGAGAGAAGCGUUGGUAGGAGGGAAAAGCAAGGAGGGAGCUGGAUGUGGAACCAGGGAUUUUAACGUACAGCGGCCCGAUGUGGCCAGAGGAACAGAAGAGGCCACGGCAGCUGAAAGGGAGAGGCAGGAAAGAUGGGGAAACAAAAAGAAGCCCCCAUCCUACCCAACCAGCAAGUCUCUGGGACCAGCCACUUGCCAUUUCCUUCCCUUCCCCACGUUUCUUGACCUCCCCAGUGCAGGACCUGGCGUUCUGGUGUUGGAACUCCUCGCUGUCCUGGCCAGCCUGCCCAUCUUCCUUGCUGCCCAGUAUAUACCCUGUGUCCGUCCCCCUGCCCCUCCCCAGUGUGAUACAAUCAGAAAAUCCCUACAAAGCUGCAUUUAUCCCAUUUCCCUGGUCCGAAGUGAAGGGAUUCCAAUAGUUCCUGCACCUUCAGGACCUGUGGCUUGGAACCGGCUGCUUUUUAAGCAAGCCAAGAAGAUGAGGUCUAUAGGGUGCCCUCAAACACGGUGAAAAUAACCUUAUCCCGUGCCUAGGGCGGUGUUUUACAGCCUCUAAUUGAUUUACAGCCUGUCAUUUAUUACAGCCUGGCAAGACACCAGGCAGCUGCCUGUUGGCGGAGCCCUCAAUUUCUCCCAUCCCCAAACCCCAGCGCCUAGAGCUACGCUGGUUGCAUCUCCCGGUCUGGCAGCCCCGGAGCACGGAGGGGCUGCCCGGGGCCACGCUCCGAGCCCCUCAGGCCGCGGCCGCCGCCUCAGGCCUCCCGCGGCCGCCAUCACCGCCCCCUCGGCCCGCGCCCCCGGCCCGGCGGCCGCGCGGGUCCCCCCGGGGGGCGGGCGCAAGGCCAGCGAGGACCAAUA